AACGAACGCUGGCGGCAUGCCUAACACAUGCAAGUCGAACGAGACCUUCGGGUCUAGUGGCGCACGGGUGCGUGACGCGUGGGAACCUGCCCUUAGGUUCGGAAUACCUCCCCGAAAGGGGUGCUAAUACCGGAUAAUGUCUUCGGACCAAAGAUUUAUCGCCUUUGGAUGGGCCCGCGUUGGAUUAGCUAGUUGGUAGGGUAAAAGCCUACCAAGGCGACGAUCCAUAGCUGGUCUGAGAGGAUGAUCAGCCACACUGGGACUGAGACACGGCCCAGACUCCUACGGGAGGCAGCAGUGGGGAAUAUUGGACAAUGGGCGAAAGCCUGAUCCAGCAAUGCCGCGUGAGUGAUGAAGGCCUUAGGGUUGUAAAGCUCUUUUACCCGGGAUGAUAAUGACAGUACCGGGAGAAUAAGCUCCGGCUAACUCCGUG
rnacentral:rRNA from 1 species